rnacentral:rRNA from 1 species
AUUGAACGCUGGCGGCAGGCUUAACACAUGCAAGUCGAGCGGGGGAAGGUAGCUUGCUACUGGACCUAGCGGCGGACGGGUGAGUAAUGCUUAGGAAUCUGCCUAUUAGUGGGGGACAACAUCUCGAAAGGGAUGCUAAUACCGCAUACGUCCUACGGGAGAAAGCAGGGAAUCUUCGGACCUUGCGCUAAUAGAUGAGCCUAAGUCGGAUUAGCUAGUUGGUGGGGUAAAGGCCUACCAAGGCGACGAUCUGUAGCGGGUCUGAGAGGAUGAUCCGCCACACUGGGACUGAGACACGGCCCAGACUCCUACGGGAGGCAGCAGUGGGGAAUAUUGGACAAUGGGGGGAACCCUGAUCCAGCCAUGCCGCGUGUGUGAAGAAGGCCUUAUGGUUGUAAAGCACUUUAAGCGAGGAGGAGGCUACUUUAGUUAAUACCUAGAGAUAGUGGACGUUACUCGCAGAAUAAGCACCGGCUGACUCUGUGCCAGCCGCCGCAGUAA